GUAGGUGAACCUGCGGAAGGAUCAUUACAUUUUUGAAGGAUCUGUGCUGCGAAGCACGAUCUCUCACAUAUACACACUUUGUCUAGACAUAGAUUAUUUGCUUAGGUGGGCGUAUCCGUCCGCCUUUGGCUUUAACCCUAUAAAAAUUUAUAUGAAAAACAUAAUCACAUUAACGAUAAUAAAUAUCAAAACUUUCAACAACGGAUCUCUUGGUUCUC
rnacentral:misc_RNA from 1 species